rnacentral:lncRNA from 1 species
UUUUAUUUGGCAUGAGGACCGAAACUUCCCUUCCUUUCUAGUGGAGGCAAGUAAGUGAAAAGUUCCUCAUCCUCUUUAAGCUUUUGCUUUCACUGAAUCUAAAGGCAUACUGUUUCCUCAAUUUCUGAUUUUUAUGUGACUUUGCUUAACUUCUUGGCUUCAACUUCAUUGUUAGCAAAAUUAUACAUCAAAGAAGGAAAACUGUGAUAUCAUUUUCAAAAAAAAAAGAAGGAAAACUGUGAUUCAAGGAUCAUUAUAGAAUGGAUACCUCCUGAAGGCAUGUUUCAUUCGUUUGAAUCUUUUGUCCUUUUUAGGUAUUAAUCUUUCUUAUUCCCCAUGGACUUCGUCAACCACCAUCACUAUAGUGUUUUGACUCAGCCCUUAAUCAUCUCAAGUUUAUAAAACAUUUCAAGUCAUAUCCAAGACGUGCUCAGGAAUUUCAGGGUCUUACUACUAUCUAUACAGAAACGUUGAUAAUUGUUGUCGCAAGAUCUGUAUUUAUCCUAUUGAGUUGUUUUUUGCUAGAAAAUAAAGGGCAGCAUAUUGUAGGAAGCAGAUUCACUGCUAUAUUAGUUUCUGUUAUGUCAUGCCUCACUAGCUUUUUAGAUAAGAAUAUUGUGUACUAUUCUAGAGUUGUGUUUUUCUCCUUGGUGACUUAAAACAGCUUGCUAAUGUUGAAAUCCUUAUUCUGGUCUUUAUGGUUGUUAUAAGCACAUUAUAUCCACUAUACUAAGGAAAUAGAAAUUAUUAAAUCCGUGGUUUUGAUUUGGUUAACUUCAUUCACAUGCUAAAGAUUUCUUAAACAAAGUAUUGAGCUAAACACUAGAAUAAAAUGCAUUGAGCAACAAAAAGAUUAGAACCACCAAGAAUGGCACCAAAUUAAUAUGUUAUAUGUUAUCUGUCAAAAAAAUUAGUAUGUUUCUAUGUCUAUCCAUGCAAUUUGACCUCUUUGCCAUAACAGAAGUACUAAAG